rnacentral:rRNA from 1 species
UAGGGGGCAAGCGUUGUCCGGAUUUAUUGGGCGUAAAGCGCACGUAGGCGGAUUUGUAAGUCAGGGGUGAAAUCCCGGGGCUCAACCUCGGAACUGCCUUUGAUACUGCAAAUCUCGAGUCCGAUAGAGGUGGGUGGAAUUCCUAGUGUAGAGGUGAAAUUCGUAGAUAUUAGGAAGAACACCGGUGGCGAAGGCGGCCCACUGGAUCGGUACUGACGCUGAGGUGCGAAAGCGUGGGGAGCGAACAGG